CAGGUCAAAGGCAUCGUGUAGCUUAAAAUUCUUGAAAUGUCAAAGUCUUUUUGUUAUCUUGCACUCAAACCACUUCAUAUUUCCAGCUAUGUAAACACUGGAUGACGCUAAACACUGUAGAUGCAUGUCCCCCACACAUUAGCAAGCUAUCUGGUCGAAGCAGAUUGUUUACUGACAGUAUGGAAAGUACCCAGAGCUAUUUCCUAGCUUAGCCAUGAUCUGGGUAGGUAGUACCUACAUACUGCUUAUAAAACCCAACGUCAUUGUUUGCAAGAACACCCUGACAGACUAAUGCCAAUUGGGCUAAUUGACAAGUGAACGUUAAAACCACAUGCUUUUUUUCUAGAUACAACACAGGAGGCCCGCCUUCCUGACAACUCUGAUCACUGAUUGGAUAUGAAGGCUUCCGGUAAAAUACUACUGGCUGGAAAGACUUCAGAAGUACUUCCUGGUUUGUAAUCAGCUGUAGUGUUGCUCGCCACUUGGAAACAUUGGGUUAUCAGCAACAAAGUGUCCGUGGUCUAUGCCUGUCAGUUACUGUAUCUCCUGCCUUCUAAAUGAUCGUAUAUAUUUGUUCUAGCCUUGAUAUAUGGAAUGAGAUGAAAGGUUGUGUAACGUAAACGUCAAUAAAAUUUGCCUUUA